CCACGGCAUAUGGAGGUUCCCAAGCUAGGGAUCGAACUGGAGCUGCAGCCGCUGGCCUAUGCCAGAGCCACAGCAAUGCGGGAUCCGAGCCUCAUCUGCAACCUAUACCACAGCUCACGGCAAUGCUGGAUCCUUAACCCACUGAGCAAGGCCAGGGAUCGAAUCCACAACCUCAUGGUUCCUAGUCGGAUUCGUUAACCACUGCACAACGACGGGAACUCCUGGUUGAAGGAUUUUUUUAAGAAAAAUAAGCUAUCAAUAAUUUCCUCACAAGAGCAUUUCUAUUAAUUAAUAUUGAGAAGUGUUAAUUUCUUAAGUUUAUUAUAAAAUAUUAAUUUAAGUUAGAUUAAGAACCACAGAUGCUUAAAACCUAAUAAUUCAGUUAUUUUCCAAUAAGGCAAAUGGUACUAUGACAGUAAAAAGGGGAGCAUGGGGGAGAUAGAGGUGCCUCUUUCUUAACAAGAAACCAUUGCUUAGUUUAAAGACUGUCAUGGAAAGGAAGAAAUAGGUAAAAGCAUUUAGCAUAGGGCCUGGAACAUGGUGUUUAACAAACGUGAUUCUCCUUCCUUCUUUUCUUCCUUCCACAAAUUCCUAGACAAUCUUCAAGAAGACCCUUAAUCCUAAAAGUUUAUAUCUUCCCCGUGAAUAAUUCACUGAGCCUCUGCUCUUUUAAUAAACCCUAAUAAAUAUCUCUAUGCUUCACAUACCCUUAGGGUGUUCACUUUGUUUCUAUUAGAAUCUAAACAGAUGAAAGGUACAAGGUAUGCAGAGUCAAGAUUCAGCACGCUUUAAGGAUUCUGCCUUGCAGAGGUCUAUUUUUAACUUGUGAGCUCUGAGAACACAUUGUAUAUGGAAAUGAGUACUGCUUGUUCAGCCUUCCUAUGUUUGGACCUUCCCCAGCUCCUUCUAGGACAGUGAAAUUCCCAAAAAUAUAGGUGGAGAUCAGGAUUCUCUGUGGGGCGCACCUAUGAAAUCUCUUCCUGGUCCCACUGAGUUUGGGGCACAAACUGGCAGAUUCAGCAGGUUUCUAACCUCUCACUUUCCUGUUCAUAUACCAAAGAUCAUUGAGUUUCAUUUUCUCGGUCAUUGAUUUAUGCCUUAUUGGAUUUUUUUUUUAAUGUCCAAGAAUGUAUUUAGCCUAUUUAUGUGUAUUUAUUUGUGAUAACAAUGUAUUGUAUAUUUAGAUUAUUUGUACACAUCCUUUUUAUCACAAAGGAUUGGGAUGCCUUUUAACAAAAUAGAUGACAAAUUUGUAAGAUAGGAAACCAGAGCCAAAAGAAAAGGAAAUGUACCAGCCAUAAGGGUCAAUGUAGUUGCUGUGACUGGGCCUCCCAUUUAAUUAUGAACCCCCUGGUAGCCAGAGCCAUAAUUCCUAUCAGAAAGGAAAUAUAUCAGUUUCUAAAAAAGAGACAAAGCUAUAUUUAGUACUAAAUUCUAAAUAAAGUGGUACAUGGGGCUUUACAUAAGAGAUAUGGAGUUAUUUGUGGACCAAAUCCUUAACGUUACGUAAAGCAAAUUAAGAAGUGGGUUUCGGAUGACUAUUUUUGGAAAUAACUCUCAAUAUAAUGCUCAAGGCAAAAGAUUAAAGGACAGCUUAAGAAGUAAAUGUGUAUUAAUUGGUCAAGAGCAAUUCUUUUUUUCCUUUUUUUUUUUUUUUGUCUUUUCUAGGGCCACACCCACGGCAUAUGAAUGUUCCCAGGCUAGGGGUCCAGUCGGAGCCAUAGCCGCCAGCCUACACCAGGGCUGCAGCAGCGCGGGUUCUGAGCCAUGUCUGCAACCUACACCACAGCUCAUGACAAUGCCUGAUCCCCAACCCACUGAGCAAGGUCAGGGAUCGAACCCAAAAUCUCAUGGUUCCUAGUUGGAUUCGUUAACCACUGAGCCAUGACGAGAACUCCAAGAGCAAUUCUAAAAGUGUCUGGAUAUGUAGCUGAUCCAAGGCAAGAAGGAAGAGUGCCUGGGAAAAGGAGAGGCUCUUUCUUUUACAUAGCCUACCCAAACUUCACUUCUCCCAACUCAGCUGCUGAAAGAAGUUAGAAGAGAUUAUACUCUCAGACUAAGCUGAGGAGCCUGGGCUUCUAUACUAAGAAUGAAUCCUUAAGUUUGAAAAAUCAGAUGAACAAGUGCCUAGCUCAGGCUCCAAUCUGAAUUAGAGACUACCCCACGUCUAUAUAGGAUUUGAUUGUGUAUGUAUAUGAAAGCAUUAGAUUAAGAAUCUCCAUAAUAAUCUGACUUUAUUUAGCUACACUAGAAUAUGCUCUAUUAAAACAGAGGUAUAAAAUCUUUUAUAAACUUGGGCUUUCCAUAGACUGUCCCAUCUAAGACCCAUGUAUCGCUUUAGCAGGGGGCUUUCCUGACCCACUUGAGAGUGUAUGUCUCCUAGUCUACUACUCAUUAUACUUCAGUUAUGAUUAGUCACUUAAUGUUUUUCCUCCCCUUCAGGCAGCAAAAUCAUAGGAAAUCUUUUUUUUCAUUAUUGAUAUCCUUUUGUGUCUAGAAUAGUGUCUGAUUUAUUAUUGCUCUUCAAACUCCAUUUGUUAAAUGUUUGAAUACAUAGAUAAUACUGCUAUUUUUCAGUUUUUUCAUAACUUUUUUGUAAAUGAUCAUUCUAUUCAUCAGGAGUGAACUCGUGCGUAUGUUGGACAUAAUAGAUAUGACAGUAUUUAAUCUUUAAAACACUAUAUUAGAGAUGUAUGGUUAUUAUCUCCAUUUUACUGGUGAGGAAACUGGGGCACCAGUAAAGAACUCCCCGGGUUUGUAGUGUUGGUAAGCAGAGGAGCCAGGGUUCACUCUCAGAAGAGUCUGGCUCCAAAUUCCACUGUCUUAACUGCCACAUGAGACCUAUGACUAAAUUAUCUUUUGGGGUUUAAUAUAAAUUUCACCUUCUCACAAAGUAUUCAUCUCACUACAAUCUUACUGACUUUCCUUAUGUGUGACUCAUUGUUUAAAUCUGCUUUUGAUUAAAAAGUUGAGGUUGAAUAUUGUUAGCUCUUUGUAUUUCUUAAAGAAAUUAGCUAGUGUAAAUUUUAAUUGAUGGUGGUAAAGGAAAAAGAAGGACCAAAAUCAGUCCCAACCAACUAACUAAACUAACUAUAGAGUAUUGCCCCUGGGGCUAGAGGAUACAAGAGAAAGGCACAAAUAGUAAAUAUCUCUGUUUUGGGGGUGGUCAUUAACUUAUCCUCCAAGGCGGUGUUCCUCAGAGAGUAAAGGGGGCACUGUUACUAAUAAUAUCAAGACCACGUAUGUAAACCAAAACUAUCCCAGGCAAACUGGGAUAUAGGGUCACCUUACCUAUUUUUCACCUUUCUAGGCUGGUUCUAGUUCUGAAAUGUGGUGGCUGCUCCUGGUUGCCCCAAAUAGUUUUAUUUGGCAUAUCAUGUGGGCCAUGUUCAUUUUUUUUAAACAUUCCAGACAUUGCACAACUAUUUGUACUGCCCACUUCAGUGUGUCCUCUUGGGACGCUACACACCUGUUGCAAUGAUGUUGCAAUUGUUCAAAAUAUGUUUUGUAAUUCUGUUUAACAUCACCUUCUGAACCAUUUAAUAGCUUCUUUAAAAAGUCAAUCUGAACUCAUCUUGUUGAUCUUUUUAUUUCCACUUAGCUUCUUGCAUGCAGAGUCACUCAAUAAAUAUUCACUGAAUUAAAUGAAAUGGAAUUAGAUUCCAAAGCUUAAAAUUACCCUCAGAAAAAAGAAGAUUCAUUACCUCUGAGUCUAUUCAUUAGGCCACAUCUC
rnacentral:lncRNA from 1 species